AGUUCAGACAGUUAGGACUGAAUGCUAUUCCUGGCUCUGCCAUACAUUAUUUCUCAUUGGAAUGGGAUCUUGGGAAAUCAUACCUCUACUUUCUCAUGUCUGUAUUGGGGAUAAUACUUUACUUCUGUCAAGUCUGACCUCACAUCCUGGGAGGUAUGCUGUGUGCCAGGGGCCCAUGUCUGAGACAUUACAGAAGGAUUGCUAAGGAUCAUCCAGCCCUCUGACUACUACGCCGUACUGCAAGAAACUUGCUGAUGGUGCUGAGAUAAUCUGGUUUUCUCCUGGGACCACUGAGAACAGCAGCUGAAUCACUGUCUGGUAGCAAC